rnacentral:rRNA from 1 species
UGGGGAAUAUUGGGCAAUGGGCGAAAGCCUGACCCAGCCACGCCGCGUGAGUGAUGAAGGCCUUCGGGUCGUAAAGCUCUGUGGGGAGGGACGAAUAAGCUUGUGGCUAACAUCCACGAGCCCUGACGGUACCUCCUUAGCAAGCACCGGCUAACCAUGUGCCAGCAGCCGCGGUAAUACAUGGGGUGCAAACGUUGCUCGGAAUUAUUGGGCGUAAAGCGCACGUAGGCGGUUUGUUAAGUCGGAUGUGAAAUCCCUCGGCUCAACUGAGGAAGUGCAUCCGAAACUGGCAAGCUUGAGUACGAAAGAGGGUCGCGGAAUUCCCGGUGUAGAGGUGAAAUUCGUAGAUAUCGGGAGGAACACCGGUGGCGAAGGCGGCGACCUGGGUCGAUACUGACGCUGAGGUGCGAAAGCGUGGGGAGCAAACA